AAACUAAUGGGUAUGUAUUAGGGAUAUUGUCUCACAUCAGAAGAUGAGUAUGAUUAGUGGUAUAUAUAAAAUAUGAGUCUCUCCACUCAUUGCUAAUUGGUUUUAAGUUGGAAAUCCACAGUCUAAUAUGGUAUUGGAGCCCGAUCCGCACAUACUCAACCCAAUUCACAUCGGCCCAUCCCAAUACUUGGCCCACCAAUCCAUGCCCGAGCUUAUCAAGAUUGAUGGCUAGAUUUUCGAAGAGUCCUAUUAAGGAUAUUGUCCCACAUCGGAAGUUGAGUAGGAUGUUAAGUGGUAUAUAUAGUAUAUGGGUCUCUCCAUUCAUUGUCAAUUGGUUUUGAGUUGGAAGCCCACAGUCUAAUAGUAUAUGCUUAUUAAGAGAUCUAACUCAUCCAAGUCUAGGUUCAAGCAAGUAAACUACACGGUUGGCGAUUCUACUUCCUUGGAAUAACCAAUCAAUUCUUGAUGUCAACCAUAUGCAUUAAGAUUAAGUAUAAACGAAGAACAAUGUAAAACAAAACAACCCUAGAAAUCGCCACUCAAACUAACUGAUCAUGAAGUUCUCUUUGAAUAACCCUUUAUAACCAACUAAUUUAAAGGAAUCAACAAAACAAGGUAUAU
rnacentral:sRNA from 1 species